AUGUGACCAGGAUGGUGGGAAUUUAAACCUCUUCCAGAGUAUCUUUCUGGAGGGCAAAUCUGGUGCCAGCAGCCGCGGUAAUUCCAGCUCCCCUAGCGUAUAUUAAAAUUGUUGCAGUUAAAAAGCUCGUAGUUGAAUUUCUGCUGUAUUGCAUUUUCUCUUUUUAUAUGAGUUUUUGCAUUAUGGCUUAUUUCAGUAUUAAUUUUUUAUUAUUACUGAAUGUUUACUUUGAGAAAAUUAGAGUGCUCAAAGCAGGCUUUUGCCUUGAAUAGUUUAGCAUGGAAUAAUAAAGUAGGACUUUGGUUCUAUUUUGUUGGUUUUAGGUACCAAAGUAAUGGUUAAUAGAAACAGUUUGGGGCAUUCAUAUUUAACUGUCAAAAGGUGAAAUUCUUAGAC
rnacentral:rRNA from 1 species